AGCGGGGUGGAGCAGCCUGGUAGCUCGUCGGGCUCAUAACCCGAAGGUCGAUGGUUCAAAUCCAUCCCCCGCCACCA
rnacentral:tRNA from 1 species